AACGAACGCUGGCGGCAUGCCUAACACAUGCAAGUCGAACGGGCUGUAGCAAUACAGUCAGUGGCGAACGGGUGAAUAACGCGUGGGAACCUACCUCGGAGUUCGGAAUAACCGCGGGAAACUGCGGCUAAUACCGGAUACGGCCUGAGGGCGAAAGGAGCAAUCCGCUCCGGGAGGGGCCCGCGUCCGAUUAGCUAGUUGGUGGGGUAAUGGCCUACCAAGGCGAUGAUCGGUAGCUGGUCUGAGAGGAUGAUCAGCCACACUGGAACUGCGACACGGUCCAGACUCCUACGGGAGGCAGCAGUGGGGAAUAUUGGACAAUGGGCGGAAGCCUGAUCCAGCCAUGCCGCGUGAAGGAAGAAGGCGCUCAGCGUUGUAAACUUCUUUUGGACGGGAACAAAGGCAUCACUGCGGUGGUGUUUGAGGGUACUGUCAGAAUAAGCACCGGCUAACUCCGUGCCAGCAGCCGCGGUAAGGCACGACUGU
rnacentral:rRNA from 1 species